rnacentral:rRNA from 1 species
AGUGAACGCUGGCGGUAGGCCUAACACAUGCCAGUCGAACGGCAGCACAGUAAGAGCUUGCUCUUACGGGUGGCGAGUGGCGGACGGGUGAGGAAUACAUCGGAAUCUACUUUUUCGUGGGGGAUAACGUAGGGAAACUUACGCUAAUACCGCAUACGACCUACGGGUGAAAGCAGGGGAUCUUCGGACCUUGCGCGAUUGAAUGAGCCGAUGUCGGAUUAGCUAGUUGGCGGGGUAAAGGCCCACCAAGGCGACGAUCCGUAGCUGGUCUGAGAGGAUGAGCGGCAACACUGGGAGUGAGACAAGGUCCAGACUAGUGAGGGAGGCAGCAGUGGGGAAUAUUGGCCAAUGGGCGGAGGGUGGAUCCAGCUAUACGGCGUGGGUGAAGAAGGACUUCGGGUGGUAAAGCUCUUUUGUUGGGAAAGAAAAGCAGCAGGUUAAUAACCCGCUGUUCUGACGGUACCCAAAGAAUAAGGCCCGGAUAAAUUCGUG